rfam:Triticum aestivum genome assembly, contig: Triticum_aestivum_CS42_TGACv1_scaffold_502435_6BL
CAAGUACUCCCUCCGUCCGGAAUUACUUGUCAUCAAAAUGGAUGUGUCUAGAACUAAAAUACAUCUAGAUACAUCCAUUUCAAUGGCAAGUAUUUUUGGACGGAGGGAGUACAAG